rnacentral:rRNA from 1 species
UAACGAAUCUUCCGCAAUGGGCGCAAGCCUGACGGAGCAAUGCCGCGUGUGGGAUGAAGCGUCUCUGACGUGUAAACCACUGUCAGGGGUUAGAAACAAUGAUCAACCCCAAAGGAAGUGGCGACUAACUCUGUGCCAGCAGUCGCGGUAAUACAGAGGCCACAAGCGUUAGUCGGAAUCACUGGGCUUAAAGGGUGCGUAGGCUGGUCCGCAAGCGUCUUGUGAAAGCCCUCGGCUCAACCGAGGAACAGCAGGGCGAACUGCGGAUCUUGAGGCAGGUAGGGGUCGCGAGAACAGUAGGUGGAGCGGUGAAAUGCGUAGAUAUCUACUGGAAUGCCGAUGGUGAAGACGCGCGACUGGGCCUGUCCUGACGCUGAGGCACGAAAGCGUGGGGAGCAAACAGGAUUAGAUACCCUAGUAGUCCCUGAGCGGGCUGGCAAGGCGCAU